rnacentral:rRNA from 1 species
UACGGAGGUGGCAAGCGUUGCUCGGAAUCACUGGGCGUAAAGGGCGCGUAGGCGGGGAGGUAAGUCGGGUGUGAAAUCCCUCGGCCCAACUGAGGAACUGCGCCCGAGACUGCUUCUCUUGAGUCCCGGAGAGGAAGAUGGAAUUCCCGGUGUAGCGGUGGAAUGUGUAGAGAUCGGGAGGAACACCGGUGGCGAAGGCGGUCUUCUGGACGGUGACUGACGCUGAGGCGCGAAAGCGUGGGGAGCAAACGGG